GUGGGGCUGCAGUUUGUCAGAGAUCAGCUGUUCUUCUCUGGCCUCAGCUCUGAAGUCCAACCCCUCCCAUCUCAGAUAUCUGGACCUGAGUGUGAACAGCCUGCAGUAUUCAGGAGUGAAGCUGCUGAGGGAUCUUCAGAAGAAUCCAAACUAUCGACUGGAGUCUCUGAGAUGGAGAUGAUCUCUGAAUGUGAGCGAUCAGGACACUGGUGGUGCAGAGAGGAGCAGCUGUGUCCUGAUGAUCCACAGAGGAUGAACCUCCACCAUCUUGUGCGUUGAGAAGCUCUGCAAGCUGAGGAGAGCUUCAUCCAUCAGGGACUGACAGAGGAAUCACAUCAAAGUUCAUUUCAAUGAUAUUUCUAAUGAAUUUGUUCUACACACAUUACAGGAGUGGAAGGCCAAACAUGAAACAGCUGGUAGAAAUGUCAAGAGGUCAAAAGCUACCAAGAAAUGCUGCAGUUAUUCUUCUCGUGAUGAUUAUUUUGAUUAUAUUUCUUACAAAAAGUACAAACCAGAACUUGAUCAUAUGUAACAUUUAUUCACAUAAUCUUCUCUUUAUAGCCUCUUUAAAACAUGCCCUCCUCUCCUAAAUGUCCUGACCUCAUCAGGCUGAACUGCAUGUGUGAACAGAAAGUGUCCUUUCACACUAAUUUUCAACACACUGCGCGUUGGCUUGAGAAUUUGUGUUUGACACUAGUGGUUAAACAACGGUGUUUAUAUGUUUCUCUUCUGGUCGACAUCCUGCAUCAACUGCAUAAAUUGUUGUUAAGAUCAGUGGUGGCUCAAUGAGGCAGGUUUCUGAGGUCACAUAUUGAGGUCUACUGCUGGAUUCUUGUCUGACAUUCCAGUUAUAGUCUGAGGAAUAAUGCCGGCUUCACCAUUAUCACCAUUAUUUUGCAUGAAUUUCUCAACAUUACAAACAUGCAGGGUCUGAGAUUAACACCCGCCAAGCGCCAAAUGCGGGUAGAUUUUUCGUUUGCGGAGUAAAUGUCAGAGGGCUAUUCGCCACGUUGCGGGUAAAUGUUUUGCCCAACAGUCACGUAUAAAAACUAUGCUAUGAGUAUUAAGCGCGUUUGAUGUCGCUGCAGCUACUUCUCCCUGCUCCUUUCUCUGCUGUCUACAUGACGGAGCAUCGUGGGGUCACGAUGACACACACCAACAUUGCUGAACAAACACACGCUGGAACGCCAACCACCACGCGCACCUGUUCACUUUAAGUUUAACAGAACAUAGUUGAUCCGUUCGGACCGAGUUGGGGUGGAAAACGUGACCCGGUCAAACGGUCGGUUCGACAUUUCUUAGUUCACUCUCACCGUGUCUGUAGCUAACUAAAUGAUAGCAACGUGAUCCCACAGCCUGCUGUAGUCCGUGAACAUCUCCACACAGACUGUGAAACAGCGCUGCGUUAUAAAAUCUUUAGAUACAGCGCUUGUAAAUGCACGCUCCACUUUUCACUUCAAUCAGGCGCAGCAGGAGCAGUCAGAGAUACACACACCUCCAAUAAUGAACGGUCUAUUUGUAUUUAGUGUUUAACAUGGUCAAAGUUAAAUAGAGAGAAAAGCUUAUUUAACAAAUAAAGGCCAGCAAAUAUAUUUUACAAUUUACGUGACUUAAAUCCUUUGUUUCAACAGAUCCUAAGACCUUAUUAACUCAAUUAAAAGUUCUGUAACAACUGUCUAUGCGACACAAAAACACAAUUUGUUAUUGGCUGGUAAAAAACAUGUUUGGCCGGUGAUUUUUUUUUUCUUUUCAUCUACCUGCCACCUUGGCCUGUGAGUCAAAAAUUAAUUUUGGACCCUGCACAUCAGACAUGUGGCUGCAGGAGCUGGGGAUCGAGCCCCCAACCUUCUGUUUGAGAGACCACGAGUCUACCGCUGAGCCACAGCCAUCUCUCCCUUUUGAAUCUUAAGCGUUGUGAAAUAUAUAUCUAGCUGUCUUUUUUCACUCAAACUGUCGCUGCUUUUUGAAGCAUAAAUGGUGAAUUACCAUUGAUAAUAAAAAAGAACUUAAUAAUA